rnacentral:rRNA from 1 species
AUGUGGGAAUCUGCCUUUUGGUUUGGAAUAACACGAGGAAACUUGUGCUAAUACCGGAUAAGCCUUUACAGGGAAAGUUUUAAUGCCAAAAGAUGAGCCCGCACUUGAUUAGCUAGUUGGUAAGGUAAUAGCUUACCAAGGCAACGAUCAAUAGCUGUUCUUAGAGGAAGACCAGCCACAUUGGGACUGAGACACGGCCCAAACUCCUACGGGAGGCAGCAGUGGGGAAUCUUGCACAAUGGGGGCAACCCUGAUGCAGCGAUGCCGCGUGAGUGAAGAAGGCCUUUGGGUUGUAAAACUCUUUCGUCGGGGAAGAAAAUGACUGUACCCGAAUAAGAAGGUCCGGCU